GUUGAAGGAUUUGGAAAAUUCCGCUAAAGAGGGUGAAAGCCCCGUAGACGAAAUGCUGACAACACCUAGGAGGAUCCUGAGUACGGCGGAACACGAGAAAUUCCGUCGGAAUCCGCGGGGACCAUCCCGCAAGGCUAAAUACUCCCUAGUGACCGAUAGUGAACCAGUACCGUGAGGGAAAGGUGAAAAGCACCCCGGAAGGGGAGUGAAAUAGAUCCUGAAACCGUGUGCCUACAACAAGUCAAAGCUCGUUAAUGAGUGAUGGCGUGCCUUUUGUAGAAUGAACCGGCGAGUUACGAUUGCAUGCGAGGUUAAGUCGAAGAGACGGAGCCGCAGCGAAAGCGAGUCUGAAUAGGGCGAAUGAGUAUGUAGUCGUAGACCCGAAACCAUGUGAUCUACCCAUGUCCAGGUUGAAGGUGCGGUAAAACGCACUGGAGGACCGAACCCACGUACGUUGAAAAGUGCGGGGAUGAGGUGUGGGUAGCGGAGAAAUUCCAAACGAACUUGGAGAUAGCUGGUUCUCUCCGAAAUAGCUUUAGGGCUAGCCUCGGAAUUGAGAAUGAUGGAGGUAGAGCACUGUUUGGACUAGGGGCCCAUCUCGGGUUACCGAAUUCAGAUAAACUCCGAAUGCCAUUCAUUUAUAUCCGGGAGUCAGACUGCGAGUGAUAAGAUCCGUAGUCGAAAGGGAAACAGCCCAGACCACCAGCUAAGGUCCCAAAAUAUAUGUUAAGUGGAAAAGGAUGUGGGGUUGCACAGACAACUAGGAUGUUGGCUUAGAAGCAGCCACCAUUUAAAGAGUGCGUAAUAGCUCACUAGUCGAGUGACCCUGCGCCGAAAAUGUACCGGGGCUAAACAUAUUACCGAAGCUGUGGACUACACCAUUAGGUGUAGUGGUAGGAGAGCGUU
rnacentral:rRNA from 1 species